UUCAGGAAUCUUAUGAUGAAGAAAGGGAACUAUUCCUACUUUAGGUAUCAGUAAUAUAGAACUUAAGACUUUCUUUUCCAGGGGAAGUUAACUUUAAGUUACUUUAGUAGCUAAAAGAUCAUUAAAUUAAGCUUUUUUGACUGACAUUGAGGGCAUCAGAGGGCAGGUUAAAAGAAUUCCCUUUUCCCUAUAAUCAUAGUAGGUAGCUCUAUCUAACUCUAAACUCAACUUUCUCUAAUGUAAAAUCUUAUAAUUAACUACAUGAUUUUUGCCCAGAAUCUCAGAAGUCAAUUCAACUUAAAAAGAUAUUCAUUUAAAGCUUACUAUGUGCAAGGUACUAGAAAUUUUAACACUUUAAGUGGUUUCUACCCUCAAAGAGCUGUUAGAACUAGAACGGAAUUUAGAGAUUAUCUAGUCCAACCUGCUUUUUUAUGUUGUGUGGGCAUUGCUAGAACCCCUUUCCUAAAUUAACCAAUCAGAGACAUCUUCAGGUACAAAGAAAAAGCAGGGAGAAGUCCAGAUGCAUCUGGGAUUCAUUCAUAUGCUCCUGAACCUGACCAGUAGGAAGUAGAACAUCUGGUUAAAUAGUAAAAGACCCAAGUCUUUUCAUUAGAUAGACUAAAAGGAAGUAACCAUCCUUGACCAAUGGUCUUCUUCUAUCCCAAUUGAGACUCAUGCUAAGAUGAUACUCAUGCCAUGCUAAGAUUCCUACUUACUCUGAAUUUUAGCUUAAGGAGAAUAUCUCCUUCAUUAUUGUGGGUAUUGAAGGGGAACAAGAAAGACCUGUAAAUAUCAUACUUCCCAUUCUCCCCAGCUAUCACUGCUUUUGACGUUGUUAGAAUUGUUUGUUUAUGGAAGAAAGGGAUUAAGCAGUGAGUUUUGAGGUGGGAUAGGGUCUGAUUCUUCAUUGUACUUUUGGGAAUAAAUAGGUAAAAACAAACCAAAAUAUUUUAUAUAAUCUCUUUCCCUCUCUUAUCUUUCUCAGGAUGACAGGUUCAUAGAUUUAGAGCUGGAUGAAGCCUCAAAGACAAUGAAUUAAACUUCUUCUUCUUUUUUUUUUUUAAACAAUUGAGGAAUUUAAAGACCCAGAGAAGUUAAAUGUCUUGUCCAAGGUAGCAAAAUCCCUGAAAUGCAUUGAAUGCAAGUGACAGAGAAGCCAGUUUUAGUUGAAUAUAAGGAAAAACAUUCUGGAACUUAGAGCUAAGAGUAGACUGCCUUGAGAGGUACCAAGUCCCCUAUCACUUCAGGUUUUUAAGGGGGUAUCGAAUAAAUACUUGUCAGAUAUAUUGUAGAAGGGAUCCCUGUUCAGAGAUAGAUGGGACUAAAUGGCAUUCUAUCUCUGACAUUGGAUAAUUCUGUGAUAUUUAACAAUUUUUAAAAUCUCUCUGGACCUCAGAGUCCCUAUCUGUAAAAUGGAGAUCUUACUUUUACAUCCUUCCUCACAAGAUUGUUUAGAUGGAAUACAAUAGUAUUUGUGAAAAGACUGGGGAGGUAAUAAAGCACUAUAUAAAAAUGAAAGGUGUCGUGAUUCUUAAAUGGUAUUAAUUAGGGGCUGAGGUAGAAUUGGUUUUUAUGUGGAUAGAGAUUCAAUCUUACUAAAGGCUAAAAAAUUUCUAAAUAUGGUUCAUUGUGGACAUAAGGAAAAAGAGAUAUUUUAGUCAUUUUCCUUUCUAUUUCUUUCUCUUUGAAGGACCUAAGAGGGUACAUAGAGAAGUUCAAAAUAACAGCUCUAGUAAUCUGAGUUGCCUAUCAUGUGUAAAAGCCAGGAAUGAAGACAAAGCAAAAAGAAAUGCUGAAGGAAAGAUAGAUGAACUUCUUGUAUCCAACCUUUCGCAGCAGCAUCAUUUGGUGCCACCAUUUUCAUGGCAAGACUUGAAAGAGGAAUGGAACAGACCGUUAUCACCCAUUGUAUUAGAGGAGGAAAUAAUCCCCCAAAAUGAUUCCAACGGCCUAUUCUGCCCAUCUUGCAAUGCACUAGGAACUCAGCGAAUCUGCAACAAAGAAUUCAAAUGGUGUACCCACAAGAACAAGAGUUGCCUCACUAUCUACGGGAACACAAAAAUGGGUGGAGGAUCUUGACAUGAUGUUGAUGGCUACCGACUGGUUAGAGUGGUGGUUGCUGAAGGCUGGGAUAGCUGUGACAAUUUUUAAAAUAAGACAACAAUGAGGUGAUUCUUACUAUGACAUAAUAAUGAAGAGAUGUGGCACUGAAGAAGAUUGUCAAGGAGAAAUUAAAACUUUAUAUGGUUUUCCCUUCUUGAUUAAGGAGAAGAUCUGUGUGAAUGCUAAAGCCCUUGAGGAAUCCAGAGGUCCAAUUUUACUCUCCAUUCCAGCUCUACUGGUCAUCCUUCCAUGGAUGUUGGCUUUUCUUAGUAAACUUAUGACAGAUCAUUUCCCUCUCUAGCCAGUCAGCCAGAACCAGCAUUUUUUAAUGAGAAUAUCAUCUUUUUAAAAAAAUUAACAUCUACCAUUUUCACUGACAGUUUUGAUUUUCUGUUUCGUGUUCUAGAAAUUAUUUACUCAGUUUUUUUUCCAUUUCAUUCUCUUAAAGCAAAAGACUCUGUAUGACCUUCAUUGUAGAAAUGUGAGAUCAAUUCUUUGUAUUAUACUUAGUUUCUUCCUAUAAAAAUUGAGACAAUAAAAAAUUGA